UCCUGGGCUCAAGUGAUCUUCCCACCUUAGCCCAAGUUGCUGGGACCACAGGCAGGUUUUAUGUAGAGGGCAAAGGGGAGCCAUGGGCAGACUGAGAGCAAGGUUGGAGCAGGAAUGACAGGGCCAGCACUGCAGGCCUUCCUAGAAAUAGCCCAGGAGCACCUCCCCACCACAUGACAGAUGAACAAAUGCUUGAGAACUGCCCAGGGUCACAAGACUACCCAAGGUCACACUGGCCCAGCAGGUACCCUGGCUGGCCCAAAACCAGAGACAGACAAGCUGGGGCCAGGCAUCUGAGACCCAUUUUACAGGUGAGAAAAACGAGGAGCAGAGGCCCGUACGAACCUGC